GGGGUUGUACUGGUUUCGACGGGGAUUUAGAAAUUAUAUAAGCCAUCGGUGGACUAGGACCACCUUAAAACUUAGAAAUUAAAUAUAAACGCAGACGAAAAUUACGCGUACGCUGCCUAGUGGCAGCUGUCAGUCCUAGGUGCCCCACAGCUUAGAGUACUGGCAUCAAAAUCGUGGGAAACUCUCCGGCUUAAGCUUUGCGGUUGGAGAAAAUUUAUGAAGCUACUGAUGUGAUGAGCCUGUCUAUAGGCACUUUGCAGAGGGAAUGAAUAUAUAUAGACUGUGAUGGGAGAAAGUAUAAUGGAAGGAUUUUCGGACGCGGGUUCGAUUCCCGCCAGCUCCACUU
rnacentral:tmRNA from 1 species